rnacentral:snRNA from 1 species
GUGCCUGCUUUGGCAGCACAUAUACUAAAAUUGGAACAAUAGAGAAGAUGAGCGUGGCUCCUAGGCAAGCUUGACAUAAAUUUGUGAAGUGUUCCACAUUUAA